CCUACGCUUCCCCUUCCGGUUCUGCCGUUCUCUAUUGGUUCUUUCGUCCAUCCCAAAAAUCAGGGAUCUCCCAGAGUAAUCACGAAGGAAUGCCAUCCCACCUCUCGUCCCUUAUUCCUUCUCUCGUAAGGAGAGAUCGCCGCCUGGGGUUCCGCCUGCCGCCGCCGCACCCCCACUGCCUGUUACCUCUUCCGAACUCCAUGAAGCCGUCCCGGCAUCAGCUGCCGACCAGCCUCUACGCAGUGGCCGAUCCUGCCGCCUCGCCGAGCUUCGAUUUCUCAUGGUGGUCCGCCACAAUGGUGCCUUCUCCCUUGAGAUCGGGAGCCGUGCAAAGCUACCAUACGAGGCGAUGACCAAGGCGUCCAAAUUGUACUGGAUCCACUCCCGGGCGCGCUGGUUCGGUGAACGGCUCAACGGCACCUGGCCGCUGGGGCCUUCCUACGCGGUCACCGUGCGCACUGGGAAGCGGUGGGAGGAGGCCAUCGAUGAUGCCAUGGUCUGGAUGUCCGAGCCCAAGUAUUCGCCAUUCUGGCAUAGGACCUCCUAGUUUGCUCUGCCCUGGUCUCCACGAGCUUGUCAACCAUGGCGGCUGGCUUCAUCUCCCUUCAGAUUAUGCUGGUGGUUCUAGAGCCGGUUCCUCUACCAUUUUUUUUAUUAAUGGUUCUAUUCUUGAAGGAUUGAUUAAUGGUUCUUGCCUUUUUGGUACGUGCACUGGUUGGGAAGCUGAUGAACUGCAGUCGUGGGUGCGGCUGCAUGCCUACAACACUUGCAUCAUUGAGGUACUCGCUCUUCUAGAAAACAUACUAACUGCAUGAUGUGUAGCUGGGAGCCUGGGAAUUGCAUGUUACAGUGCCAUGUUAGAUGUUACACAGGCAGUCCCUCACCUGUCUUGGUGUGGUGGUUUGGUCUUGGUCUUGGAUUGCAAAGCUCGGCUUGGGAUUUUGCUACUGCUCUAAUUCGGUAAGGAUUCUGAUGGGAGACAAUAUAUGAAAAGAACUUUCCACAAGUAACCCCAACUGGUUAUAUUGUCAGACUAUAUCAAAAGUAACGCCAUACAGAGGCAUACUUGAUGUGUGACAGAGGUAAUGUUCUAUUAGUGUUCUUCCUGAUCUUUACCCUCACAGUUUGCACCUCUCCAAGAAUGAAAUUAACUCAUGUCUUUUAUAUUAUUCCCUUUUAAAUGAUAAAAAAGACCAAAAAGUGUGAUGUCCUUUUAGAUGAUUGACAGGUUUAUAUUACUUUGUUAUGCUUCCGCUCAUUUUGCAACUGCAUCACGUAAUUGGGUUUCUGUAGCUUUACGUCUACAAACUAUGAUUUUUGUGACAGAAUCUUUAACAGAACACCUAGGCUUCUCAACAUUGCAGCGGCCAAGCUCUUCGGUCAUUCUACUGAAAUUUGUUGUAUACUUCAUAAGUGGGUUUUAGGCUUUUGGGCUAAGAAAUAUAGGUUGUUAAGUUCAUCAGUUCAGCAGUCUUGCAGAAUAGUACAAUGAACAAGAAGCCUGCAUUUGUUGAUUUUAUUCAUUUGAUAGUAAUUAGGCUAAGUCGAAGGGCUAGCUGGACUUAUGAACAGCAGGUCACCUUUUAAGGGGUCUCUGAAAGAAGUGUUUAAGCAUCUGCAAUUGUGCUGUGGUAAAAUAUACUGAUGUUGGUGUUUCUUUUCAAGAUUAUACGAUUGUUUACCCAUUUGGUCCAUGUUUUGUCUACUAAAAUUAUUUUUCUAUUCCUUGUGGAUAAUUUGCUUCAGUUCAUUUGUUUAUCUAAACAUAUGUUGGGCAUUAGUUCACCAAUCAUGAGAUCUCUGAAUUUCGAAGGCGAAUGGUAUUUUCUGAAUUAUCACUGUUAAGUGGGAGAAGUGAGAUAGAGAAUGAAGAAUUGUUCGUUCGUAAAGUUUUACCAAUGUAAUUGUGUUUAUUUCAAGAUUCUAUCAUUAUGUACCAUUUUUAUCACUAGAAUAAUAUAAUUAUUUACUUAUUUACAAUUUCUUGCAGAUACUUUGCUUGGACUCAAAGUGCAUGUAAUGCUUGCAACUGGAGGUUACUUUUUUUUGUCUUCCUCUAUUAUUCUCGUUUCAAGUUGUGUGAUCCUCUAAUAUGCAGAGAUUCCUGAUUGAGGGCAAUUCCAGGGUUGUUGCAUAUUUCGCAAAGUACUGGGAGAAGGACAAGUAGCUCCAUUGUAUUUACUGUGUCAUGACAGAGCUGCGCUUAGUUAACUGGAGUAGCUCCACAUCAUCUAGAAGACUAGAACCAAAGGUCUUCGUUGUUUAAGUUGUGCAAUUCUAAAUCUCAAAUCCAAUCAAUCAACAACCUAUCAACCAACUCUUGAACGUUCUUCUAUAUGUAUGGUUGUAUGUAUCCAUAUGGUACGUCGCGGUGGUCACGGACGAGGGGGGCGUUGUGCUUAGUUCAUAGGCUUAUUAUCACAUUCUCUGUGCAAUGGGUUCACUUUAUGGUAAGAAACUUUGAGUGAAAAUUGCUAAAAAUAGAUCUUGAUGGAUAAAUUGUUAAUCAUGUCUAUGCGACAGACCUUUGUCAACUGCUAUUCACACGCAGGAUUCGUUGAUUGGUCAUCGUGGAGACAUAUUACUCACACAUGUCAAAAGGAUUUUGUUUGCCCACAUUUAGGCUGUGCUAAGAUGAACUGGCAUGCCAAUUCUAUCUAACUGGAGAUGUUCCACUGAUUUGUUUACAUAAACUUUCCUCUGACGGGUGAUGUGGUUCAAUAACCUCGAAGACGGCUACCUCUCCUUCCUCGAGAUCGUUGCUGCCGUAGUCAUCGCUAGAACAAGAGGAUCAAAGCUGAAGAUGCAUCAGCAAUUGCAUCCGACGAGGGGGCUGGAGAAGAAGUAACCAAUACAAUAUGAUGGGGGCCCUAUCAGUGAUGGACGAGAUGGUCUCGAUCCGUAGAAAGAGGAGGACGGCAACACAACAAUGUUGGAGAUUAGAGAAAUUAAGAGAAACAGGAGUGGCACGGGGACUUGAUGUUGCCGAUGGUUUGCGUGCUUGCUGUUGUGUGUUUGUGCUUAAUGUGUUUGCAAAGGCUCGUGAUUUUGU